rnacentral:lncRNA from 10 species
AGUGAAGAGGUGCCAGAAUCCGCGAAGAGGGUCGACGAAUGCGCUGCCGCGGAGGCAACAAUGGCCAUGAGGGAUUCAAGGAUUAUGCGGUAAGAACCAGUGGAACUGAGGCUGCUUGGAAUAUCCCUUCUCUUUGCCAUCCACUUGACCUGACUAGUCUCGAUUGGUUCUUUGGGAGCCCUUCAAGAUCCCUUCAAAACCAGGUCUCUGCACCCUACAAUACACCAACUGGCAGUUCCAUCAUUUGAAAGAAAAUCUUCAAGGUUUAAGACCUGUGACACAGACUGAAGCUCUCCUGGCAUACUCUGAAGCUCUCCUGGCACCCUCCCCUUUAUGCUUCACAGGUGUUUCUCCUAAUAAAUUUCUUGUAUGUCUCAUCCCAUCUGGG